AAAAAAUAAAGCCUUUUGCCCUAAGUUUGCCUAUAAAAACUACUGCUUUGCUUGUUUUAUGCCAACUCAAAAAGUUCAUUUGAGGAAAAUAAAAAACACCCACAACCCUUUGGCUCUUGUUAUUUGAUUAUGACCUUCAAGCUUUGUUUUAUGGCUUCAGAUCUCCAUAAAUAUCUUCCUUCUCCCCUUCUCUCCAUGCCCUUCACUCAAUACUUCAAUCUUUCCCCCAUGCCAGAUAUAUAUAUGUAUAGAGAAAUAUGAGCUUUUUGUUGAAGAUCAUUAACAUCAGCAUCAGCAUCAUCCCAUUGCAUAUUGCACUGUUCCAUGCAUUGUCAUCAAGCAUGACAUGCAACCAUGCAAAUGUUUUGGCAUCCAUGUAUAUAUCAUGUAUGUGCCUGGCUCCCUGUAUGCCAUCCGCAGAACCUAUCGAACAACGAUGGCAUCUGUGAAUGGCGUAUGAGGAGUCAAGCAUAUAUUUCUACAUAUAUAUCUCCAUCAGUAUACUUCUUUUGCAGGCUUUACUGUUUUAAUCUUCUUGCUUUCCAAUUAAACUGAAGGGCUUCAAGAGAGGCACUAAUUUCUUAAGCUUCUUGCAGUCUGCAGAUAUUUUGAUUUUGAUUUCUUUUUCUGUUUUUAUUAAUUUCCAAGAGGAUGUAUAGUGAAAAUCCAAAGCUUUAAAAAUUGCAGGGAAACUCUUUUAACUGUUCACUGACAAUGUUGUAGGUUGUACAUAUGUGUACCUAUGUUGCUUGUAAAAAUUAUUGUUAUUUAGUACUCAAGUCUUGUCUGAUGGAUUUUUCAUGUGAUCUCUGCCAACUUUAUCUUAUCACUGUUUUCAAAUAAAUAAUCUCAGUUCAUAAA